CGGCUUUCGCCUCUCCAUGCAGAUGGGAAGGCCGUCCGCUGCGAUGUUACAUCAUAAAAAGCUAACGGCUCCCUCUAAGCCCGGGUUCAAAGUCUCUCCCCCUCCUCCCAGCACACACAUACCCGGGAAGAAAGCUGGAGCUGUCGCUCCUCUGCCAGCCCUCGUUGUGCCUUCCCUUUGUGCGAGCUCCCGCUAGCUAAGCAUGCAGCGAAGGAGGGAGGAUGCAAAGGCGGCCCGGGGGGAAUAAGCGCUCCCGCAUGCAGCCAGGUAGGGAACGGCCCUGUCCGAGGGGGCCCGGUGACACGGAGGCGGCUCUCACCUCCCCCCUCCCCAUGCGCUCACCUUCACGGUUUCUUCCGAGCCCUGAGAUAAAGCUACGGUUUGUCACCGUCCUCGGCAGCUAAAGAUCUCUGCACCCUCGAAGUCUGUGCAGCUCCUCAGUCAACUGAAACCACUCGUUCAAGACAGCAACAAUCCAGAUAUACUAGCAAGUCAUAAAACUGAACAAAAGCCGACAAACCUUAGAGCACCAUCGCUAUAUGGCCCAGACAAAUUACGACCGUCUAGGGGGAAUCGUUGUGUGCUUAUCCCGUGCUACCAACGGUAACGCUAUUUAUCGACCAAAAAAAAAAAAAAAUCACUAAUUCCACAUCUUUAAGCAAAACUACAUUACGUAAAUAUCUACAACCAGAAAGAGAGAGAGAAAUUCAGAGCUUGAAAGAGCAAAGCGGGCCCGGGGAAGGCUGCAGGAACCGAGGAGGCUCACACAUGGCCCUCAGCGUUAGCAUGGCUUUCUUCCGCUCCCGAAGCAGCCAUUAAGACUUUAAGGACAUACUGAGAACGUCUAAAAUCGUUAAUCCAUACAGGUGCGGAUGACUACAGCCUAGGAAAAUGAUACUGGCUCUUUAAACCAUAAAGAUGUGUUUAUAGGUUCAUCAAGAGAAAUUAAAGUUGGCUGUGAGCUCCCGAA